GACGAACGCUGGCGGCGUGCUUAACACAUGCAAGUCGAACGGAAAGGCCCUGCUUUUGUGGGGUGCUCGAGUGGCGAACGGGUGAGUAACACGUGAGUAACCUGCCCUUGACUUUGGGAUAACUUCAGGAAACUGGGGCUAAUACCGGAGAGGAGCUCCUGCUGCAUGGUGGGGGUUGGAAAGUUUCGGCGGUUUGGGAUGGACUCGCGGCUUAUCAGCUUGUUGGUGGGGUAGUGGCUUACCAAGGCUUUGAAGGGUAGCCGGCCUGAGAGGGUGACCGGCCACAUUGGGACUGAGGUACGGCCCAGACUCCUACGGGAGGCAGCAGUGGGGAAUAUUGCACAAUGGGCGGAAGCCUGAUGCAGCAACGCCGCGUGCGGGAUGACGGCCUUCGGGUUGUAAACCGCUUUCGCCUGUGACGAAGCGUGAGUGACGGUAAUGGGUAAAGAAGCACCGGCUAACCACGUG
rnacentral:rRNA from 1 species